UGUUUUUCCAGCCUUUCUUCCUCACUAUUUAAAUGGUAUCACACUACCAUUGGUCAUAAUGGUUUUAGAACACAAAAUAAGAUUCGUCCUACAAGUGUACAAGAGACUAAAUAGAAAGUAAUCAGAUAGAAUUUCAGAAUUACUCUUCCUCUUCGUCAAAUUUCUCGAAUCUCUGAACAUUCUUAUACUUAUUUCUUAGUUGCCAAUAUCAAGCUUUAUCUUUCUGAAUGCCCCUAGCAUCUUUCGCUUCUUUUUUUCCA